GCUGAAAGCCCAGGCCUAGCUGAGAAGCCCCAUGUCCUUCUCACUGGAGCCUCCAUCACAGCAUGGCUGUCCUGCUGCUGCUACUCUGCCUGGUGACCUUUCCAAGCUGUGCCCUGUCCCACGUGCAGCUGAAGGAGUCAGGACCUGACCUGAUGCAGCCCUCACAAACCCUGUCUCUCACCUGCACAGUCUCUGGAUUCUCAUUAACCAGCUAUGAUGUAACCUGGGUCUGCCAGACUCCAGGAAAGGGCCUAGAGUGGAUGGGUGCUAUAUGGACUGGUGGAGGAACAAGUUAUAAUUCAGCUCUCAAAUCCCGGCUCAGCAUCAGCAGAGACACCACCAAGAGUCAGGUGUUCUUGAAACUGAACUGCCUGCAGACUGAGGACACAGCCAUGUACUACUGUGCCAGAGACACAGUGAGGAAAUUCAACUCUGAGCCACACCAAAAAAAAAAAAAAAAAAAAAAAAAAACCUUUCUACAAGGAUGCUCAAACCAGAAGAGGGCGCUCUAG